AGAGUUUGAUCCUGGCUCAGGACGAACGCUGGCGGCACGCUUAACACAUGCAAGUCGAACGAGAGAAGAGGAGCUUGCUUUUCUGAUCUAGUGGCGGACGGGUGAGUAACACGUGAGCAAUCUGCCUUUCAGAGGGGGAUACCGAUUGGAAACGAUCGUUAAUACCGCAUAACAUAAUUGAACCGCAUGAUUUGAUUAUCAAAGAAUUAUCGCUGAAAGAUGAGCUCGCGUCUGAUUAGCUAGUUGGUAAGGUAACGGCUUACCAAGGCGACGAUCAGUAGCCGGACUGAGAGGUUGAUCGGCCACAUUGGGACCGAGACACGGCCCAGACUCCUACGGGAGGCAGCAGUGGGGAAUAUUGCACAAUGGAGGAAACUCUGAUGCAGCGAUGCCGCGUGAGGGAAGAAGGUUUUAGGAUUGUAAACCUCUGUCUUCAGGGACGAAAAAAGACGGUACCUGAGGAGGAAGCUCCGGCUAACUACGUGCCAGCAGCCGCGGUAAUACGUAGGGAGCGAGCGUUGUCCGGAAUUACUGGGUGUAAAGGGAGCGUAGGCGGGAUCGCAAGUCAGAUGUGAAAACUAUGGGCUUAACCCAUAAACUGCAUUUGAAACUGUGGUUCUUGAGUGAAGUAGAGGUAAGCGGAAUUCCUAGUGUAGCGGUGAAAUGCGUAGAUAUUAGGAGGAACAUCAGUGGCGAAGGCGGCUUACUGGGCUUUAACUGACGCUGAGGCUCGAAAGCGUGGGGAGCAAACAGGAUUAGAUACCCUGGUAGUCCACGCCGUAAACGAUGAUUACUAGGUGUGGGGGGACUGACCCCUUCCGUGCCGCAGCAAACGCAAUAAGUAAUCCACCUGGGGAGUACGACCGCAAGGUUGAAACUCAAAGGAAUUGACGGGGGCCCGCACAAGCAGUGGAGUAUGUGGAUUAAUUCGAAGCAACGCGAAGAACCUUACCAGGUCUUGACAUCGUAUGCAUAGCUCAGAGAUGAGUGAAAUCUCUUCGGAGACAUAUAGACAGGUGGUGCAUGGUUGUCGUCAGCUCGUGUCGUGAGAUGUUGGGUUAAGUCCCGCAACGAGCGCAACCCUUACUGUUAGUUGCUACGCAAGAGCACUCUAGCAGGACUGCCGUUGACAAAACGGAGGAAGGUGGGGAUGACGUCAAAUCAUCAUGCCCCUUAUGACCUGGGCCUCACACGUACUACAAUGGCUGUCAACAGAGGGAAGCAAAGCCGCGAGGUGGAGCGAACCCCUAAAAGCAGUCUUAGUUCGGAUUGUAGGCUGCAACCCGCCUACAUGAAGUCGGAAUUGCUAGUAAUCGCAGAUCAGCAUGCUGCGGUGAAUACGUUCCCGGGCCUUGUACACACCGCCCGUCACGCCAUGGGAGUCGGUAACACCCGAAGCCUGUAGUCUAACCGCAAGGAGGACGCAGUCGAAGGUGGGAUUGAUGACUGGGGUGAAGUCGUAACAAGGUA
rnacentral:rRNA from 1 species